rnacentral:lncRNA from 1 species
GGUGAGCCCCCAGGCACUGAACCACAUGGUAAAGGCAGGCAUCCACAGUCCUAUGGAACUCUAUAGGAAGGUAGAACAGUGCUCAUGAAGUUUGUAUUCUGCGAUAGAAUGUCCGGAAGAGGUUUGCAGUGGGACUGGCCUAGUGCAGAGAAGGGUGAGAAUAGACCCUCCAUUGGCCGGGCUAAUGACAGGGUGUGUGGGAGAUGCUUCGGCUUACGCGCUACUCCACUAGGCUACUUUUAGCUUAUUUAUCACCUGCCGCCAUCAUCUGCCAGA